rnacentral:rRNA from 1 species
UAGGGUGCAAGCGUUAUCCGGAUUUACUGGGUGUAAAGGGCGAGUAGACGGCGUUGCAAGUCAGAUGUGAAAGGCUAGGGCUCAACCUUAGGAGAGCAUCUGAAACUGUAAUGCUAGAGUGCAGGAGAGGUAAGCGGAAUUCCUAGUGUAGCGGUGAAAUGCGUAGAUAUUAGGAGGAACACCAGUGGCGAAGGCGGCUUACUGGACUGUAACUGACGUUGAGGCGCGAAAGUGUGGGGAGCAAA